AUUGAACUAUAAAUAAACUGGAAGGCUAACUCAGGGGGGGAAAUUGAAGCCAGGGCAUUUUAGUUUUUCUGAGUUAUGAGCAGAAAUACUCAACACUGAACGUUGGGCUAUAUAUCAAAUUGAAGCUAUUGAAAAACGCUAUUUGGUGUAGAAAUUUUAAGACUUUAGCUAAAAGGGAAAUAUCAAAAAAUUACAAACAUAAUUACCGAUAAUUUGCCGUUUUGCAGUUGUUUUUGUAUUUUUAAAAUAUUUUUCUUUUCGCUGAAGUCGUGAAAUUUCCACACCAAAUAGCAAUUUUCAAUAGCUUCAAUUUGAUAUAUAGCACGACGUUUGGGGUCAAGUAUUUCUGCUCAUAACUCAGAAAAACUAUUUUGGCUUCAUCAAAUCAUAGGCCUUCAUCAUAGCAGUUAGCCUUCCAG